rnacentral:lncRNA from 1 species
CUCGCCGUGAGUCGACGAAGGGAGCGCGGGCGCGCGCCCGCGUCCGCGCACUGAGAGUCGCCUCGGCCGCUCGCUUUCUCGACUCCCGCCUCGCGCCUCGAUCCUGUUCCGCCUCCCUCGGCCCUCCUGCCCGCCCCCACUCGUCGGCCCUCAGCUCAGAGACCUAAUAGGAUGGGGUCUUAGAGAAACAUCUUUUGAGCCACAGACUUCUUUGUUACCAGAAGGAAAAUGAAAGAAGAAAUUUAAAUACCACUUGAAGAGAGGUAAAUAAAUGAGAAAUGGGGCUGAGAGGGCGGGUAUUUUUUUAAAAAUUCAUUAAAUGGAAAAAUCCACAAAUGUUAAUUCUGGUAGAUUUCUUAGAAAUUACAUCAGAGGAGCAUGCUUGGUCUUCCCACCCUCAUUAGGCCUCAGUGACAGGUACUUGAACAACUGAGCCCCUAAUGUGCAUGCUCCCCCACCCCUGAAGCCAGUCUCUGCCCUCCUCUUCCCUCCUCUUGCCCCUGGAAGCUGAUCGCCACCAACUGGCCUCUGGGUGGAUUUGGCCAAUGGAAGCACCUGUAGAGGGAAGAGAGUGAGGUUAGGAUAUUUCUUCCUGCUGUCUCCGUGCUUCCCUGCAGAGAGUGUGAAGAAAUGACCCUGAAAAGCCUCUGGCAGAGGAUUCUUCUUUCAGGAUGGUGUCGCCUCCUCAGCAGCCCAUCCUCCUCCCCUGGACUCAAGCUCUCAUUCCAGUAACACUCCUUCCUCCUUCUCCAUCUUCAGGGGGAGGUUUGCCAGUCGGUGGGUUCUAAGCAUAUCUCGCUGAUUCCCCCCAACCCUGCCGACACCUCUGUAGGUCGUCCCUUCAUUAAAAUCUCUCCAUUUGAACUAUCUGAGUUUAAUUCCAUUUCCUCCUGGUAUCUCAGUGAUACACGGUAUCAGUACAAAAAUCUCGCUUCACCUUCAGAACCAACAGAUUUGAGACAUUUUAUCCUCUGUGGAACCAUUAGUUAUUUUGUCAUUGGUUGUAUCAGAAAAAAAAAUCAGGAAUGCAAAUCCUUCUUUAUUACAGAUUCAGAUUUGCAUAUUACCAAUGUUAUAUAUUUUAAACAAAACUAUUCAUCAUAAGUUUUAAAAAUUAACUACUGGAGUAGUUAAUGAAUCUGAAUGUAAUUAUGUAGCUUUCAUAAUAUUAAAGUAAAAAUACUAAAAGAAGUAUUUCUUAAAGAAGCAAAUGCUCAAUCUCCAAGUAAAUUUUAUUCUAUGCUCUUCCGGUAUAAGAAUAUGUUAAUAUCUUGAAAAAUAUCAUAUUAUUUUGUGAACUCAUAAAGCUAUUUUGAGUUUUUGUAAAAUGAAAACCUUACCAAAAUGUAUUUUAUUGUUGGAAAGCUUGACCGUUACUGCUGUUUAAUUUUUUGAGCUUGUAAACUUUAUUUGUGCAUGUUUUCAACAAAGAAGGAUUUUAUUGUUAUUACAUAAAACAGGUGAUUUCUAGAUUUUAAAAUCACAAAUUGAAAGCAAGGCACAAUAAUAUAUAUUUCAAGAUAUAGGUACUUAGGAGGCAUCCUUUUAGUCAUCUGUUCAAUGUAGCCAUCUAUUUUACACCUACUGUCUACUAUUGUUUGAGGUCCUUGCCAAAGUAUUGCAGGCUAGUUAGGAAACAUAAAACAAUUAGAAAGUAAUCUAUGACAAGUAAGCUAUCUAUAAAUGGCAAUGAAGGGUAGAACAAAUUCAAUGAAAAUAUCUAUUUAAUCCUAGUGUUUACUGGUCUAGAAGAAUAGGCUGAGUAAAUUAGUAUUUCUCUGGCUGUUGUGGUAACACAUUGCAUGCUAUAACAGUUUUAAGUAAUUACAGGUGCAUUGAAAUUUAUCUAUGGCUUUGUCAUCAUAUUCUAAAAUGUCAUGAGUACUUUUUUCUGACCUCAAUUACUAUGAAAUUGGUUUCCAAUAUUUAAUUAACCAAGAAUAUCAAGUCUAUAGGGUAUUAUUAAGGUGAGACUUCUGUAGCCUUUUCAAUAAAGACCAGAAUUUUGGAGUGCCUUGAACCUUAAUCAUUGAUCUUUAAUUCUUAUUAAGUCAACUGCCCACCUUUUAAAGACUGAGGCCCAGGAAGAGUAAGUUUCUCUGAGACAAUGCAUACAGUACAGUGCUUCUUGGGUAUUGGCUCUAAGACCAGAUGCAAAGAAAGGCUAAAAUCCCAUUUCAUUGUUCAUUAGGUGAGAACCCUUUGUUAAGCUGUGUAACCUCUGUGCAUAGUUUCCUCAUCAGCAAAGUCAGAAAAAGUAUGUACCUGAAGGACUGAUUGUAAGGCUGGGAUGAGAGAAUCCAUGUGAUCAGCCCUCACCAACAGGUGCUGCCCAGUUCAUGAGUGCUGCUGCUGUCCUGCCCAAGUACCCAGCUUGCAGAGUGCCAGAGUUAGAGUCCCAGGGGUGUUCUCCACAGCUGCAUGCUUGAUCCAGGCCUAUCAGAUAUAUUCCAUUGAAAGUCCUCAUUCUCAAAUUUAAAACAAAGACUUUUUGUGUACCUCAAUAGCAAUGCACACACAGUUGGCUUCACAAACAUAUUGUACAUUUCUUUUUUUCAUAUUUAUUCAACAAAUGUAUAUUGACUACCCACCGUGUGACAGGUGUUAUUUGUUGACGGAACCAGGCAUCAUCAGCAAACAAAACUGACAAAGCUUCCUGCCCUCUGUGGAAGGCAUCUGAGGAAGAGACUGGAUUUUGUAGCAACAUGUUAUUCUCAUUAUAAACUUUAUCAUUGGAAUACUAAAGCCAAAUCAUCCCCCAUCUCCUUGAUCAGGAUACCCACUUAAUCUAGGCAGCUACACAAUUGUGAGAGCCUUUGUUUUUUUCUGCUGAAACAUCCUUAAAAAGAUACCUCACAACCCAAGAUUUGGCUUUUCUUAAAUACGAUUUUUAAUUUUUUUCAUUUCUAUCUAGAGAUUUAAUUGGAAAUGGAAAAUCAUCAAUUUUCCAAUUAAAUGUCUGUUCCAAUCAACAUUAUACCUUUUAGGUUGUCAUUGUCAUUUUUAAGUUUAAGCAACUUUAAGGAUUUUGAAUCUGGCUGCCUGUAAAUUAAAGGUGAAAGUAAUCAUUGUGUUGGAUUGGAACAUUUUGUCAAUUGAGAGUGGUUUCCUUGUUCUUAGUGUAUGAAAAGUUUAUUUUUCUAAUGUAGAUUAAUAAAGGAGAUAAAGAAAAACAAAAUGAGUGAUUUAUGUGUGUGAGAAAAGAACCAUUUCCUCAAGGAUUAAAUAAAAUUCAUACCUUUUGUUUCUUUUGAAAAGUUUUUAAAAUAAAUUUUAAUGAAUGUGUCCUUUAAAUAUUCCUUUAAAAAUGUAUCCUAUUUUAAAAUGGACUCUCUGAGAGAAGGAAUUGAUACCUGUGUUUAAAAUCAAAAAUAGCAUGCAUAGAGACUGUUUUUCUAGUUGGUUGAAGCUUUUUUCCCUCUCCUUUACAUCAGUGAACCAGCAUCUUGCCCUUCAGACCCUACAGCACACUCUUGGGCUCAUGAAGUGUAUGACACAUCCUCCUUGGGGGAUCGGCCAUGUCCUCGCUCUCAUGACCACAUGAAUUCUUCUGUAUGUCUUUUCUCACAGCUGAGUACUCUCUUCCUGACCCCCUUGUGGAAUGGGGAAAGGAGGCUGUGACAUUGUGCUUGUGCAAACAAUAAUUGAGAGCUUUCCGAGUCUCCUGCAUCUUCAUAAAUGAUUUUUUGUUUUAUGCUGGGACAGUAGUUCUUUAAAUAGAAUAUUCUCCCAUGGAAAUCGCCCACAAUGCUGAGAGUACACCUUGCAAAAGGUAAGUCUAGAAUAUAGGGUGCCUCCUCAGCAUUGCCCAGAAGCUGAAGUUAGGACUCUCUAGAAUACCAAAAACAAAUUUAUAGCAGUUCAUUAAUGUAAGGAAUUAUGAAAACUGUGUGCCACCAUUAUCCAUAGAUGAAACAAGAGCCACCACGCAAGCACAGACACAAAGCCCUGAAGAUGAAGCCAUUGACAGGGCUCUCAUUUAUUCUGUAGAAACCCACUUGCCUGUUUUUGAACCAGUUUUCUUUGGAGCAUAUGUCUCACUGUGCAACCAAAGUGGUGUUUAUAUCCUAGUCACUUGGCAAAAAUUCUGUCAUUGCUUCAGGGAGAUCCAUUUUAGGCCUGAAGCAUGGAGCUGGUAAUAGAUGGGAUUUGGUACUUCUGAAGAAAAGACCCUACUGCAAAUUUAGAGAGUUAAUUUUUUCUUUUGUUCCCCAUAAUAUUGUUGCUAGAUAGAACUACCUUUUUUGACUAGAAGUUAAAUAUAGAGGCCUAAAUCAAUUAGGUAACUCCCACUCAUUCUAAAUGAGAACAUGUUUGUUUUUCUCCAACGAGAUGAGAAAUAUUUGAGGCGCUUCCUGAUAUCUCUAUCACCCACUGCAUUUUUUCACUUGAUGUAUAUUUCCCCAUGUAUUUGGGAUAAUUUUCAAAUAAUUGCCCUUUAGAAAUCUACUUGAUAUUAAAUGUAAAAAAAAAGCAAGAUGCAAAAUUAUUAUAGGAUGCAUUUACAGAAAUUACAAAAUUUCUAUAAACUAUUUAUGGAGGAAGACUUAUAGAGUAUAUGUCAACACAUUGCUUUAUUAUUGUCCUUGGUUAUGAGUAUGGUUUUUUUGAAACCUGCUUUGUACUUUGGGUGUUUUCUCACCAUUGGUACAAUUGAGGCAUUUUUCCCUCUUCUUCAACCUUGCAAAUCACACGUGAGGAUGCUCAUAGAAGUGCCUCUCAGACAGGCUGUUGUUUUGCUUUCACCAAUAAAUCAUUUAUAAUUAGAAGUAGAAAACUAUUCUUUCCAGUGCAAAUACAUCCCUUUCAAAAGCAGUUCUCUUUUUGUGAAUGAUGUCUAGUGUCUAAGAAACGAGGGUAACCUUUAUUAUAUGCAUUGCUCUAAUCGAAGCAUUGUUUUUUGCGGUGAACUCAAGGUUACAUGUUUAAGAAAAGCAUCGGGUUAAUUCCAUUAGGAAAAGUGUCUUAUUCAUAAACCUUUAGCCACUGGAAAAACACCAUUAGGAGGCCACACAAGUGUGUAUAGCUGGAUAGAAUUUGACAACUGGCAAAACAAAACAAUAGCCUACAAUUGCAGAGUGCUGUCUGUUUAAAAACCAACAUAUCUUUCACCAACAAAUACAUAUUCACCUCAACACGAGACUUUCAUGUGGUUAUUAAUAUCAAAUUUUUGAAUGUCCAAAUUUUGGAGUGUAGUCUAGCAGAGGUAAACUGAUUUGCCUAAGGUCCUUCAACUGUCAGAGGUAGAAUUAUUUUCUCUCUCCUGGCUCUAAAACCUGUCCAGAUUCUCCUGCAACACUGUCCUUCAAAAACACACUUCCGCUGACUCCAGUGCUGGUGAUGUCAUGCUUUAGCUAGUAGUUAGAGGUGACUUAACUUUAAAUAUGGAAUCUUUUUUUCCUAUUAAGCAAUGAGGUUUAGUUUGAAAAUUCUUAGAGAUGAUAAACCCCUCUCCUUUUUUUCUUCCUUCUCCUCUUUUGUCCUGAACAAUGUUCCAUAUAUAUUACUGCCAGAAACAGAUUCUUGACAUUCCUGUUAUGCUUUUCCACAUCUUGUAAUCAUUUCUACAGCUGUUAGCAUUGCCAACAAUUAUAUUUCCACUUUUAAAAAAUUGUUACAAAGAUGCAGAGAGAAAAGAGGAAAGCCAAGGAAUAAACUACAGGCAAUUAUGGGAUAUUUUUGUGAUGUGACAUUUUGGGAACUGAGGCAGCAUCACUGAUACUGCACUACUUUUUAAUAUCUAGAUUUUAAUCUUUUGUAUGAAGAUAAAAUUCACAUGCCUUAAACCUGACCACAACAUAAUAGGGCAUUUAUUUUUCUAAUUUUGAUACCAUCCACAUUUCUUAACUAUAAGAAGAAUGCUUAUGUUGUACCAGGUUAUAUGAUGUUGCCAAGAAGUAGAUGUGUACCAUUUACUAAUACAUCCUUUUGGAAAAUGCGUAUUAAUAACAUAUUAAGGAGUAAAUUGACGUUGUGCAAAGUGAGCCUGUGAGUUUAAAUGUAUGGAUUGUACACCUUGCUCUUCCUAAUUGCAGAUUUAACAGGAUUUGAUGACCUAAUGAGUUUAUUUCUGAAUGAUUUAUAUUUCUUUGUCAGUUCAAUGAUUUAGUAUUUUAAAUUUUUUUAAAUCACAUUUUAUUGAGAUAAUGCUAUUAGUGUUUCUUUCCCAUCACUUAACAAAGUUAAGUCACUCCUCUCCCACCCCACUUUUGUACCUACCAAUGUUUUUUUCACAGUUACAGGCUGAUUGGCUUGACGUGUCUUAGGAUACCACCCAAAGAGAGCUUCAUUUUAUAAAUACCAAGCUCAUUUUCCUAAAUAUUUUCAAAAAGAUAGAUUUAUCCUCAUAUAGUAAAUUCAGAUUAAUAAUUUUGGAAAGGGUCAUGUGACCAUGGUAUUACAUGGCUGUGGAAGACCCUCCAAGAUCUUGUUUUGGGAUAGAAGGACUCAGACAUCCAAACUUUUAAAUUAAUGAACUUAUUAAAUUCUAAAACUUUGUAACAGUGUUAAUUUGAGAAGUAUAAUAUUUUGCUUAAGGUCUGUUUUGCUUUGCAAAAUGCAUCUCCUUCAUUUUCAUAUUAUGUUGGAAGCUUAGCAUGAAAGAACGUGCCUCAGAGGAAACCAUAGGUAAGCAUACUUUAACAAAAGUUAGUGUCAUCAUGUUUGUGUCUUUGCCUGUGGUUUUUUAAAUGUAUAAUGUUUAACGUUGAUUUGGCUAUCAAAUUACAUUUUCUUUUGUUAAAAAAUUCUGUAAAUUAGAAAUGUACUGAAUCAUUUAUUUAGCAGACUGAAGGUGGGUAAUGUUGGCUGAACAGGUUUAAGCCACAGUAAUUUGAAAAUGUAAAUACAUAAAAUAAUGUCAUUUCUCUUCCACUCAAUGUUUCUUCACCAAAUAAAGUCCAGCCUGCUCUGAAUUUGUUGCCAGUAGGAACAAUGUUACAGUGAAUCAUGGUUUAAUAUACCUUGAAAAUGGCACAUCUGUUCUGUGAUAGCUUACCAAUUUUAGCCUCUUUAUAAAAUACGAAGAGUUUGUCAACCAGAAUAAUCUAGAACCUGGCAAUUCAAAUACCAUUCAAAGCAAAUGUUUUAUCUAAUAACUGGAACUAAAUGUUAGGCCUCAUGACAGUUCAAUAUUUACUAAAUAAGUUUAAUAACAGGGUAAGCCCUCAGUAUCCAGAGCAGAGACAAGCACACCAUAUUUACACAUACAAAUUCUGCCUUUAGCCAUCUGAAAGGGCCCCGAACUAUUGCAGCAAGCAAAGAGUCUUUGCAUUGUCCUAAAAUCCAUACAAUACUUUAUAUUUUACACAUUUUAAUAGCUAGUUUAACAAAUAACAAGUACCAUGCUUAAUUCUCUGCAUGCAUUAUUUCAACUAAUUAUUGGAAUAAUCUUAUAAAGUGGGUACUUUCGUCUCAGCUUACAGGUGAGAAAACAAAAGUUAAAUAGAUCGCCCAGGGCUCUGCUGGAACGUGUUAAGCAGGGAUUUCAGCCUGUCCAGUCAGACCCCAGAAGUUGUGUUCUUAACCAUUAGCAACACAUCAUCCCAGGCAGGCCCUACAUGAGCCUCAUAACCAAUUUUAUGCUGGAUAGUAUUAUCCCUAUUUCACAGAUGGCAAAACUGAGGUCCAGAGACUUUAAGUGACCUACCCAAAAUUACAGUCAUGAGCAGAGGCACUGGAAUGUAGGGCCUUGACACUCUACCUCACGUGGUCCUCUUUCCUGUUUUGGGUAGUUCUCCACUACCACUACUCAUUUCUGAUGCUGGAAAGGCUGUGUUUUAUACAUUUCUGUUUCUGGCUUGGAACGAAACACUCUGGGUCUCUGCUUGAUCAGUGUCCCCUCUAAACUGCACCUCACUACAGUAGGGAUGGCAUAAGAUACUUCUUUACACAGCAUCUUUUUGUUCCCACCUCACCCCCAGAGCUGUAAUAGGUAGAGCCAGCCAAAUGUCAAAGGGAUGAUUUGUCUUGUCACCACUAGUUUCCCUUUUCUCUGCCUUGUAUGUAACAGGAAUAUUCUUUAGUUCCUCCUUAUGUUCUAAAGCACCUCCCCAACCUAAAAAUAGAAGAGGAGUUGUGGGUCAUUUACACUUUAGUGUGAAUUUGCCCUUGUGACUUUGCCAAGGCUGUUGUGCCUAACCCUUUCAAUCUAACAGCAGAAUGAGAGUCUCUGGACUAUCCUGGCUCCUUCCCUGAGAAGAAUGAACUGGGAAUUGUUGGUCUAGACAUCAAGACUACCAGAGACCUAUUGCUCAGAGAUGUUUGGGCUGUACAAUUUCUGUAGAUAUGGCAUCUGGAGCAGCCUUUUCUAAGCAAUGGCAUUAUCAUUCCAGGCUCUCUCGCUCUUUCCAUCUCUCCACCAGGUGGACUCUUGCCCUCCACCCCUUCCAAUUUGUCAGUGAUUCAGAGAACAUUCUCCAUCCUUCCAAUGAUUACAUUCCUUCAUCUUGCUGGGGCGCCAAUUCAGUGAUGGAGCGGCUCUUGGGAGCAGCCUUGGCUUAUAGUGCAGCUCUCUGCUACCUUCAACAGGCUGGUAUUCGGGGUGCUUAGAUGUGACUGGUUGUACGCACGUGUGUGUAUGUGCAUGUGUGUACAGCAGUAAGAGCUUUCGAGGUAGAUACUUGAGGAAGCCUCAGACAUCUAGCCCCAUUACUGGGGCAAUGUCUUACUUGGGUUUUUCCAGAAACAGACCUGGAGACCAGGAUUCAAGUGCCAGUGGUAUAUUUGGGAUGUGAACCCUGCAAUGCUGGUAGGAGAGUGGAGAAGUGAGGCAAGGAAAGGAAGGCCGUCAAGGGGCGUGUUAGGAGGUCAUUCACCACCGCAGGUAGCCCGCUGGGGACCUCUGGGAGCAAGUGUGGCGCACAAGCCUCAGCAUUACUGCCCUGUGCCUUGAGGAGUAAGGGAUAAGGAUUUUCCCCACCAGUUCCCUGUAGUCCUUGGUGAGAGCUUCUGGGGUGGAGGUUAAGGUCUUUAGGUCAGAGAAAUUUUCUUUAGUUUCGGAAAAAUCUUUCAGGCCGAGGUCCAGACACUCACUGGAACACACUGAAGUGGUUAGGUCCAAGGGCUGUAGGCAGAGCUCCCAUAUCCAUCUGCAGAGGUGUUUCAGGUGGAAGGAGUGGAGACAGCCUUCUCUGCUCCACACUGUCUUCAGCAAGGGUUUCUGUAUCUGUGCAUUGAGGAUUAAAUUAUUCACAUGGUCAGAGAAGCCCAUCACCACUGAUAGUUAUUGUAGGUAUGGAAAACUAACGACUAAGAAGGGAGAAAAAUAUACCAAGCAGUUGGCUUGGCUGAACACAAGUAAAGACUCUUACAGUCACUGGUGUGAACUGCUUAUUAUCAAUGUCUGAUUACAGUGCUGCAUACUAAUGAUUAUGCAUGUCAUUAAAUGUGUCAGAUUAACUUUGUUAUAAAAUUUAUGACAACAUUAAAUUUUAUUCACAUGCUCAGCCUUCAUAAUUUAUUGCUUAUGUAGCAUGGUUUUAACUUCAGAAAAACCUCCAAGACAGUGUUGUCUUGAUGACUACACUGCUUAUCCGUGAGUCUAGUUUUCCUGUUCAUUUGAAAUGUUCACAUUACAUUCAGCUCUGUCUCAAGCACUGAGACAGAGCUGGAAUCAGUGCCCAGCGAUUCCACUUGCCGAGUGAUUGA